rnacentral:rRNA from 1 species
ACUGAACGCUGGCGGCAUGCCUUACACAUGCAAGUCGAACGGCAGCACGGACUUCGGUCUGGUGGCGAGUGGCGAACGGGUGAGUAAUAUAUCGGAACAUACCUUGUAGUGGGGGAUAACUAUCCGAAAGGAUAGCUAAUACCGCAUACGAUCUAAGGAUGAAAGCGGGGGAUCUUCGGACCUCGUGCUAUAAGAGUGGCCGAUAUCUGAUUAGCUAGUUGGUGAGGUAAAGGCUCACCAAGGCGACGAUCAGUAGCUGGUCUGAGAGGACGACCAGACACACUGGAACGGAGACACGGGCCAGACUCCUACGGGAGGCAGCAGUGGGGAAUUUUGUACAAUGGGGGCAACCCUGAUCCAGCAAUGCCGCGUGAGUGAAGAAGGCCUUCGGGUUGUAAAGCUCUUUUGUCAGGGAAGAAACGGUUGUGGCUAAUAUCCAUGGCUAAUGACGGUACCUGAAGAAUAAGCACCGGCUAACUACGUGCCAGCCGCCGCAGUAACAC